CCAAUAGCGUAUAUUAAAGUUGUUGCAGUUAAAAAGCUCGUAGUUGAAUUUCGGGAUUGACACGUCGGUCGUGCCUUAAGGGGUAUGAACUGGCGUAGUCAAUUUCUCACCUUCUGGAGAACCGCGCUGUCCUUAAUUGGGUGACGCGGGGAACCAGGACCUUUACUUUGAAAAAAUUAGAGUGUUUAAAGCAGGCAUUUUGCUUGAAUACAUUAGCAUGGAAUAAUAAAAUAGGACGGCAUGAUUCUAUUUUGUUGGUUUCUAGGAUCACCGUAAUGAUUAAUAGGGAUAGUUGGGGGCAUUAGUAUUCAAUUGGCAGAGGUGAAAUGCUUGGAUUUAUUGAAGACUAACUACUGCGAAAGCAUUUGCCAAGGAUGUUUUCAUUAAUCAAGAACGAAAGUUAGGGGAUCGAAGACGAUCAGAUACCGUCGUAGUCUUAACCAUAAACUACGCCGACUAGGAAUCAGACGAUGUUAAUUUUUUAAUGACUCGUUUGGCACCUUACG
rnacentral:rRNA from 1 species